rnacentral:rRNA from 1 species
UACGUAGGGGGCAAGCGUUGUCCGGAAUCAUUGGGCGUAAAGAGCGUGUAGGCGGCUUGGUAAGUCCGCUGUGAAAGUCCAGGGCUCAACCCUGGAAUGCCAGUGGAUACUGUCAAGCUAGAGUCCGGAAGAGGCGAGUGGAAUUCCUGGUGUAGCGGUGAAAUGCGCAGAUAUCAGGAGGAACACCAAUGGCGAAGGCAGCUCGCUGGGACGGUACUGACGCUGAGAGGCGAAAGCCAGGGGAGCGAACGGG